rnacentral:lncRNA from 1 species
UCUCUGUCUCUCGUCUCCUUUCGCCGCCGCCGUCGCCGACGCUCGCCCUCCUCGAUUCGACGCCGUUCUUCGGGUGGUUCCUCUACCUCUCGCGGAUCUCUUGUGCUCUGCUCGUUUCUUACUCUCUUUCUUGUUUCUCUGCUUGAUUUGCAGUUCAGACGGUGCCGUGCCGUUGGGGUUGCCUUGCCGGUCGACCGGAGAUGGAGCUUAUCGUUUGAGCCUCUGCCCUCCCCGUCGAGGUCGCUCCUCACCAUCGCAGGCACGGUCUGGUCGGGGCCACGACGACGAGAGGAGCAGCAGAGGAUAACUUUUCCCCACGGAUCCUUCUCGUCUUCCACGUGAUUCGAGUCUCCUCUCUCCAUCAGGUACGAACUCGAUCCGCCUCCCCGCAGGAUGAUUCUCCGUUGAUUUCUUUUCCUGUCGCGUCGAUCCGGGCGGAUCUGGGACGGAAUCAGCCGCACCUGAUGCUGGGUCGUUUCAUCGAUUUGAUCCUGUUCGCCCCCGCUCUGUUUGCUUGAUGAUCCAUUCGAUUGGGGAUAAGCAAAGGGGUUCGGGGAUUGAUGAUUUGUUGGGAAGUUAGCCUCUGCCUACACUGCUUGAUGUAACUAUUCAUCCAUCCAUAGCGAGAGAUGUGUUGCUACUGCUGCUGUAGGUUGACAUUUGUGCGCUCUUGUUGCUGUAGAUUUGAUGCACCGCCACCUCCUCUGCUCUCUUCUCCUCCCUCCAGGGUUGGUUUGGGUGCAGGGGUGGUUAUUCUUGGGUGUUAGCCGUUUUAAUCCCGCUGGAUGAUUAGCUGUACUUGUUCUUCAGUUUUGUCAGAGAGAAACAGGAACAUGCAGCUUGAGCUUGUUCAAGUGGAUGGAGUUGUUUCCUGUUCCUGCAUCCGCAUUCGUGGGAUGGCACGCAAUAGCAGCAGCGAGUGCGGCGACUUAGUGGAUGCGUGAGUAGCUGUGGGAUGGCGCAGCUGUUAGCUUGAUCGUGUCCGGCUGAAUCGUUAUUUCAGUUAGCUUGUAACACUGGCAGACUAUAAAUAAGAUGAGGGGAAACUCUGCUUUUCUUGUUCCGGAGAGAGACGCACAUGGAUGGUACAGCCGUUGUGUUCUUUAUUUGUACCACCUGCAACAAAUUCAUCGACCGAGCUAGCUUCCAACUCGUUUUUGCCAUGGUUGUUGGUUGGUCCUACCUAGGAAAAAUCUCAAUCCAUUGUCUUGGUUCAGUUUACAUAGGGCUCUCCAUGCCCAAGAUGAGAAAAUCUUGCUGUCAAUUUGUUUGAUGCCACAAUUGGCGUUAUUUUCUUACCAUUAUAUUAUAUUUGCCACUGAAUGUUCAACCUUUAAUCUUUGCUUUUGCAAAGCCAGGCUUUAUGUACUGUUUGCUUGUGUUUGCUUUCUGUGCUGCAAAAGUAGCUCAUUCAUUCAUCGCCGAUUUGGCACGUGCGACCAAUGUGCACAUGCUGCAUUUAGAUUCCAGCCUAACUACUAGCUUUCAGUUAAAGCUUUUUAGACCAAGCCAUCUCGGUUUCUUGUGUUUUCGCCUAACUAGCUUUUUAUUCUUCUUCUUCAGGUUUUGAAGGCGGUUUUGUGUAGAACAGCCACGGAGCAGAAACAACGAACAUGCUGCUUCAGCAACAGCGUAAUGAUCCUGAUGAUACUCUUAUCAUUUUGUUAACGUAAUGUGUGUUCUGUCAAUGCUCGCUCCGGAUGCUAGCUAGACCUACUGGGUAGCAUAGCUAAUUCUUUGCCUAUCUUCACAACAUUCAAGAGCUCUUUAGUCCUGCCAAAGCAAGGUUUCGAUGAUUCCCUCACACAAAAUAUUCAUAUUUGGUCGUGCCUGCAUGAUGCGUGUGUGCAUGAUGGAUGGUCAUGCACUACUGUACUAGCUAGAUAAUAAGCUUGUUUUGCUACUGAAUGAUUGAACGGUGUCUCAGUUUGUACCUCAGUUAGCUCACCGCCUAAAAUUGCGACGGGAUAGGCACUGUUUGGUUCGUGCUCCCAUUCUUGGUGGGCUAAACAUAUUUGUUUGUUUGAUUUGGAGCAGCAGGCGCUUUCCAUCGACAACCGGGACUCCACGCCUAAGCUGUUGAUUACCUCAUUUUAUUCAUCUUCUCCGUAUAUUCAUUCGAUUGCCUGCUACAUUCUUCUUCAUUGCACGGGCAUGCAUCUUGGCUCAUGACCAACCGAAAUUAGUAGUUCACCUGCUUGCUAAAUUUAUUUUUAUGCCUUCUGUUUUGUCGAAUUUUACUGAGUAAGCAACUGGGAGUUGCAUCCAACCUUUGUCGGUUCAGCUUCUCUUUUAUGUUCUGUAGAUAGAUGUUGGUUCAAUGCUGUUAAUUUUGAGCUUCUCUCUUUUAUGUUCUAUAGAUAGGUGUUAGUUGUUCGCAUGUUGUACAAUAGCCAGCUCAACUAUACAUGUCUCCUUUUUUUGAGCCAAUUAAUGUGAUGUAUGAGUCAAAUCAUAUUACUAAUUAUUAUUGUCCGGGUUGAAGAGAAGAAUCUAUGACAGGGAGAGACUUGCUUUGCAAAACAUGUGUUUUCGUUGAAGACUUGCUUGCUGUGUGCCAUGGCUAUGUGUGAUGCUGAUCAUUGAAUUAUGUACUGCUGAUCAUUGGAUUAUGGUGCCAUGCUUAGGCAUAUUAAGUGUUUGUAUUAGGAUUUUUAAAUAUUCUCAGGUCAUGCUUGUUCUAAGUUUGCUUAGUCAUGUAAAUGAUGGUCGUCCAUUGGCGGAGUGCUUAGAUGGUGGUUAUGUGAAGGAUGUUGUCUUCUACAAGCAGCAAGAAAAAUUGUUGUUCAAAAACAUAUCUAAAGGCCAACAUGAAUCAUCAAGACUGUCAACUGAGUCUGGACCAUACAUCAAUUGCAACGGGUUUUAGGAAUGCAUCACUAUAUUGAUUUUGGUUUAUACAUGAACUGCAGAGAGUUUUAUAAAUGUAUCAUCAUAUUGUUUUGGGUUUAUAUAUGAAUUGCAAAAUGUUUUAGGCAUGUGAAAAUCAGAGCUCAGGCGGCAGGCGAUUUUUUUUCUUGCUUCUAAUGCCAGGAUGAUGUUCUGUAUACUAAAAAGGACUCGUGCACACUUGCUUUGCUCCUUAGUGUUUAUGAUCAGUUGACAAACAUUAUAAUAGGAUAUACACAUUGCUUCAAAACUGAGUAUGUUCCUUGGUGAUGGUGUAUUUAUUAUGAAAAUAAAUAGGACUGCUUACCCAUGGUGAUGUGGUAUUGCUACUCGAUUACUUACCCUGUUUCUGUGACAAAGGCCCGUGAUAGAUAUGGUUAGACACAUAUUGAGCGUCCAAUUUCAUAAAUAUUGAGCAUACAGUUUCAACUUCAACUUAAACAUGAGAUUGUCUUGCUGUCGAGUUGUGUUCAGUUCUUUCCAUGUAGAACUUACUAGAAAUUCUUGCAUACAUCCUAAACAAAUAAAGAGCUGCAUGCAUUUAAAUUAAGCAGUUCCAAAGAAAGAAUUAUUUCAAGUUAUUUUGUUUGGAGAUGAGUUGCCUUUUCUACACCUUUGUGUUAAGGAUGGAGCCUCCACAGUGCCUAUGAGCCAUGCUUUUUCCCACCCAGUAAAAUGGUCUAUUUUCAAGUGGCAUCAUACGGUGAAGGAGGGGAUCUGGAUCAAGAGCCGUAAUGGUGCUUGUGAUGGCAUGUCUAGCACUUGCUCGACCCUGGAGUCUGACUUCUUCUUGCAAGUAAGCUCCUUUCUCUCUUCUAUGCCCCCCACCUCGCUUGUGAGGAUCUCUGGUUGGAUUUGGGUAACUAGAACCCAAGAGAUGUAAUCCUAUUUGGAUAUGAACUGUGUAUACUAGCUUUAUUUAGUUUAUAGGAGUAGAUUUUAUAGAUGAACUGUGUGUGCUAGCUUGAUAGUGAUACAUGCCAUAUCUCUGGAUUGACUCCAUGGGGUAUCCAUUAACGUCUGAGGUUUCACAAGGAAAUGAGUUUCUUGCAUUCUCAUGUUGAAAAGAAUUAAAGAAACAUAGCAGAAUAUGGUGCCAAAGUUUUUAGUUCUUAUUGGGUUCGUCCAUCUAUCAAGGUUUGAUGAAAAUAUCAACUUGCUUUGUAGGAUUUGUAUCAUGUAUCUUUGUUUCUACAAGAAAUCUAAUUGGAAUUGGUCUAUUGUCUUGCACAUGUACUUUCUUUUACCGUUUAAACAUUUCAACCACUUACUUAUGUUGUCUCUAAACCAUUUCCGAUGACUCAGGUUGACCAUACUAUUGUGAGAAUCUCAGCCAGGAUCAUUCUUUAUAUCAUGUUGGAUCAUCUUGGAAUUUGUAGAGCCAUUUACCAUCGAAGGAUGUACUCACAGAACAAAUCAGUGUGACUAUGCUUUUCUACACUUCUGUCCAAAGUAAUGGGAUAUGUAUUCUGUACUGUACAGCUACCCUCUAAUGCACUACUCAGCCUUCAAUCUCUGUAUGUACAAAUGACUUGAUCUAAUUAUUAUGAAUGACAUAUGGAGUGUGCUGCUUUCUAUAUAAAUGGUUUGCUCUAAUUCUGAUUUAUCAUACCGCAUUGCUUUUGAUCUAUUCCUUUUUGCCAAACUUGAUGCGUCAAGCUUUGAGCUACUAUACUGACAGCGAAGGUAAAAUUCCACAAUGUACAAGUUCAUAUCACCUACUAAUCCACAUGUACUAUACUGCAGCAUGCUCAUAUCACCUACUAAUCCACAAGUACAAGUUCUAUGUCAAAGAUAAUCGUUCUCUCUGCUAAAAGCAUGGGCUCUGCAUUAUGUUUCUACUUUCAUUCCUUCCUAUCCUAUAUUAGUGCUUUUGGUACCGAACUUAAUGAUGAG